rnacentral:rRNA from 1 species
GACGAACGCUGGCGGCGUGCUUAACACAUGCAAGUCGAACGGUAAGGCCCUUCGGGGUACACGAGUGGCGAACGGGUGAGUAACGCGUGGGUGAUCUGCCCUGCACUCCGGGAUAAGCCUGGGAAACUGGGUCUAAUACCGGAUAGGACUCCUGGCUUCAUGGUUGGGGGUGGAAAGCUUUUGCGGUGUGGGAUGGGCCCGCGGCCUAUCAGCUUGUUGGUGGGGUAAUGGCCUACCAAGGCGACGACGGGUAGCCGGCCUGAGAGGGUGACCGGUCACACUGGGACUGAGUUACGGCCCAGACUCCUACGGGAGGCAGCAGUGGGGAAUAUGGCACAAUGGGCGCAAGCCUGAUGCAGCGACGCCGCGUGAGGGAUGACGGCCUUCGGGUUGUAAACCUCUUUCAGCUAUGACGAAGCGCAAGUGACGGUAGUAGCAGAAGAAGGACCGGCCAACUACGUGCCAGCAGCCGCCGUAA